AUUGAACGCUGGCGGCAGGCCUAACACAUGCAAGUCGAACGCGUGGCGGACGGGUGAGUACUGUCUGGGAAACUGCCCGAUGGAGGGGGAUAACUACUGGAAACGGUAGCUAAUACCGCAUACCCUCGGAUGUGCCCAGAGGGGAUUAGCUAGUAGGUGGGGUAACGGCUAACCUAGGCGACGAUCCCUAGCUGGUCUGAGAGGAUGACCAGCCACACUGGGACUGAGACACGGUCCAGACUCCUACGGGAGGCAGCAGUGGGGAAUAUUGCACAAUGGGCGCAAGCCGGAUGCAGCCAUGCCGCGUGUAUGAAGAAGGCCUUAGGGUUGUAAAGUACUUGCAGCGAGGAGGCGUGACUCGCAGAAGAAGCACCGGCUAACUCCGUGCCAGCAGCCGCGGUAAUAC
rnacentral:rRNA from 1 species